GCCGCGGAGCCGGGGAAGGAGCCAGCGGCGUUUGGGGCACUGAAGCCUCAGAGGGAAUUGACGGAGAUAAAAGUAACUGCACUGAACUGAAAUUUCUCUCCCGCCUGAAGAGGAAGAACAUAUUCAAAAAUGACCAGGAUUGCUGGCAUUCUUACUGGCAUGUGAAAGUCAAAUCAAGCCCUGCAGAAAAGACUUAUCAAAAUUCCUGUCUCCUGCACUGUGAGGAAGAACACAUCUGCAGGAAACUUCUCUUAUGCAGGUGAAAGCCAAAGAGUGGUUGAUCAAAUGAGGCUGUCAGCAGAAUGAAGCAAGCAAUUCUACUGCUGUUGCUGAGCUCGGUGGUGUGGCCAUGAGUGGAAAAAGGCAACAGCAGGGAAGAAGUAACAAAAUGAAGACAAAGUGAGAAAGAAGGUCAAAAGAUUGAUAUCAGCUAGAGCGUGUUAACGUUACCUAAGCCCUAUAGAAAAACGCCAUUUAACAUUUAAAACACCAGUGCCUGGACUUACAUGGUCAAAAGGUAUCUGUACAACUUAAUAGGUUAAAUAUUCAAACACACAGAAGGUUGACAGAGGUAAAAAACAAUCUUUCACAGUUUACAAAUGCCUUUUAAGUUUCCUAAAAUAGUGAUCUGAUAUUUUAAAACCUCUUGUUCUGUCCUACCUCUGCUUUCCUACUCUGUUCACUCCUGCCUUUUUCCCUGACUCAGCACCUAAAAACAGAGCUUUCUGAAUGAUUGACAUACAGCCCAGUUAGUGGUGCUGAUUUAGCAUAGUUGAGAAACAGCAGAUGGGCAGAGUCUGACAGAAGGAUACGAUGGAAUAAUAAAACAGUGUAGGAAAAUGCAGAGGGGAAGAACUAGCGUCCUUACAUUCUUACAACAAUAACACAAGUGUCUUUUUUUUCUUCAAAUGCUGGUACCAUUGAACCUCAAAAUACAUUCUCUAAUUUUAUAGAUUUCUUUUAUCAUCCAGAAAUUCUCACAUGAAUGAAACUAUGUAAAUGCAAAAUUGGAAUCAUUAUCUGCUUCCCCAUUCAAAUUCCUCUUGAAAAUAUCUCUAAAUGACACACUACAGCUUCCCCCUUAAAAUUCAGUGGAAAUUCAGAAGCAGAUACACAUCUGAAAUCUGCAGUUCAGACAGUUUCCUAGUUCUUAGGCUGUUCCAGUUCAUCUGUCCCUUUCCCCUUUAGAUUUUACCAGAUACCUAUAAUUAUUGUACACUGGAACAUAGUGCAGCAGUCAUUAACCACACUUUCUCAUAAUUUCAAGUCUUCUAGUUUGCAGCUGUUUCCUACAGUUUCCAUAGAGUUGCCAAUUCUUGAGAAUUUUAUUGGUUUAAGUAGAAAAGUCUAGGAAUUGCCAAGACCUCUUGAAGAGAAGGGCAUUUGAAGAGCAUUACAUUAUCCAAAAAACGAACAUUUGUUUGCCAUUCUCUUCAAUCCUAUUUCACAUAUGGGUACAUGCACAAACAAUUCAUUUGGUCUAUUAUUUUUCUGUCUGUUCCCUCCUAUCUUCACUGCUGAGUUCUUUUCCAUCUCUCUGUCUCUUCUCACAAUUUCUUCCUCCCUUAGCAUGGCAUCCCAUCCUCCAGUUUUUUGUCCUUUCUUUUAGCGCUUUAUACAUUGUAAUCUUGACAGAUAAUUUACUAUAAAAAUAUAAAACAUCCAGGAAUGUGCUAAGUACCUUUAACAGUUGGCUCUUAUGUAACACCUCUUGGCAAUUUCUUCUCAGAUUAUCUUCAUAACUUAAUAGCCAAUUUCUCUCUCUCACCUUUAUGCAAACCAUUAAUUGCACUACAUUAAAGGAGAGUAACAUUUAGUCUUAAAAUACUUCAGAAUGAUUCUAUUAUUCCAUUCUUUAAAGGUUGUAGAGAGGGUAUGGCUAUAUUGCAGAUUGCAGUGUAGGAUAGAGAUACCCAAGCUGCCUUUAAACAAGAAGUGGGGUAAUUUAUCCGGCAUGGGAAAAGUGCAAGAACAAACAAAAAAACUCAGACUGGAAAGUUACAAGUACCCUAAAGAUCUGUUGUUAUAAGCCCCUUCUUAUUGACUAAGUUGAAUGCUGGUAUAAAUGCACUGAAGACCAGGAAAGCAGCCAGCCUUGAUGACAUGCUUACUGAAUAAAUCAAAUGAUUUGGAUCCUA